AACUUAUAAAGAUUUAGUUGUAUUAAAAUGACCACGUAAUUAAAUCGUCCGUAUACUUUAAUUUGGUUCUCAUAUGUAACACGGGAUUGCCACUAAAAAUAAAUAACUAAAUAUUGGGCAUUACCUUCCUCAAGAACUCCAACAAUUCCAUAACCUCUAGAUCUUCCCUCGCUAUGACGACGUUAGACGAAAGUUCAUCAGAAGACGCUUCUUUAUAACUCGAAGUGAGCAUUUCGGGCUUAAUCGUGGUAGACCCAUCCAUGGACUAACUAUGCUGAUGUCUAACUCUCGGCCUUUCACUGGGGCCCGGAGGAAAGGUCUUAGGCCCAGGAGUCAAACUCAAACCAGCUGAAACUUGAAAUAGACGAUUCACCAGCUAACGGAUAACGAAUCAAACUUAUCUAUAUCAAGGAUGGGUCUAUAACGAAUGCGAAAAAGUUCAGCAAGAUCAUGAAAUUUCCUAUGAAUAUCACCACAAAAAGUGACAAAGCUCUUUAUAGGCAGGGGAAGAACCAACUGAGUGACUUUAUUACAAUUUAUAGAUAUGAAAAGAUGAUACAUUUUAUCUUUGAGUAACUUUAAAAUGAAUUCGUCAACAUAUAAAUAAAUAAAUAACUUUAAAGCUGAAAUGAAUUGGUUAACGGCUCAAAAAGAGGUACAUCAUUUGGGUAUCAGUAAGGAGUCAGGCUGCAAUGACCCAUUUGUUUUAAAUUGAGCCUAUAAUGGCAAUAAAAUACACUUAAAGAACAUGAGGAUACCCUGUGGCAGUCUAAAUCAAAAAGCACAUUUGUACAUGAAAUCGAAUAGCAUGUAAAGUGAAAGAUGAGGAACGACUGCGUGUUACCUUUAUAUUGUUUUAAAGUUUUAGUUUUUGUUAUAUUAUCUAUGCAUUAGGUGCACAUAAUUGAGGAUUUGAGGGAAAUGUACAAAUGGGUCAGGCCAAUCGAACUCGAGAUGCUUUGACCCAAAGUCUUGUUAUCCUCGCCUUUCCCUCCGUCAAAUGUUGUAGUUGUUAAAAGACGCAUUCUUUCCUUUUGGGCAGGAUUCAGUCUCUCACCACGACCCACACCACCAGACACAUUGUUGUUUUCGUUUCUAUUGCCAUUUGUUUUCUGCCGUUUUCGUUGUUCAACUUUUUUAGAUAAAUCUUUGUAUUUGACCCGCAAUUUCUCCAUGCAAAGCUCUGGGUUCUCUCUACACAACCAUAUGCACUAUCAAAAUCUCUUAUUUUAAAAAUACUUUUUAAUAUCUAUACCUUGCUUACAUUACCUCUCAUACACUAACCAAAUUUAUGAAAGCUCCGAUUGUAUUACACCAUUUAUCUAUUGUUAUAAAGCCAUGUGAACCCUGAGAAAUUAGCAAAUUAAUGGAUACAAAAAAGAAAAAUGAUAAUUAAAAUAAUUCAGAAUAUAGAUGUGAGUAACAUGUAUCAAAGAUAAAUUUCUUAAAAAAGCAUAAAAAAUUCUUCCACACCAUUGUAAAAUCAGACGCGCGCAGCAACGUCGUUAAGUGCACAUGCAGCAGUUGAACAUGCGCAACAAUGUCAUUGAGUGCACACGCAUUAGUGGCAUGCCCUCAAAUCGGAACUGAUUUUACAAUAUUGAGAACGUAAAGAUAAGGUACCUUCUGAGCAAGAUCAAACGCUAGCGCUCAUUCACGUGUGAUGGCCGCACCCUCUUUCAUGACAUGGUGAUCUCAACAUUAUAACAUCUAACGACAGAUGUCGACAUAAAGUAGGUUUCCUUUCCAAUUGUCCAUACCUCAGCCUCCUUUAAGAGCUCGGCUUGCGUCUGACGUUCAUUGAGCAUGUUUUAGACAGCUCGACCUUCCAUGGACAUUUAACAAUGUUUUAUCAUAAAUAUAUUAUUGUUUUGUAUCCUUGUUGUAAUCAUAUCUAUGUAGGGUAGGGAUGAGCAAAUGGUACCGGGUACCAGUUUGUAACCGGUACUGAAUUUCCUGAACCGACUUGAUUUUCGGUACCAACACUUUGCGUUUUCGGUACCGGUUUUUACCUUCAAAUAUCGGUUCGUACCAGUACAAAAGCGUGCCGUACCAGGUAUUUUCGGUACCGGUAUUUUAGGUACCAGUUGUACAAAAGCGUGCCGUACCAGGUAUUUUCGGUACCGGUAUUUUAGGUACCCACCGAGCUCAUCCCUAGUGUAGGGUAUGAAUUCGAUUAAAUACAAAAAAAAACAUAACAUUUAGAGAUUACAUAAAGUUAGUCGUACUUUUUGUGCUCUAUCGUUGU
rnacentral:lncRNA from 1 species